rnacentral:rRNA from 1 species
ACGUACACUCCUACGGGAGGCAGCAGUGGGGAAUAUUGCACAAUGGGCGCAAGCCUGAUGCAGCCAUGCCGCGUGUAUGAAGAAGGCCUUCGGGUUGUAAAGUACUUUCAGCGGGGAGGAAGGCGAUAAGGUUAAUAACCUUGUUGAUUGACGUUACCCGCAGAAGAAGCACCGGCUAACUCCGUGCCAGCAGCCGCGGUAAUACGGAGGGUGCAAGCGUUAAUCGGAAUUACUGGGCGUAAAGCGCACGCAGGCGGUCUGUCAAGUCGGAUGUGAAAUCCCCGGGCUCAACCUGGGAACUGCAUUCGAAACUGGCAGGCUAGAGUCUUGUAGAGGGGGGUAGAAUUCCAGGUGUAGCGGUGAAAUGCGGAGAGAUCUGGAGGAAUACCGGUGGCGAAGGCGGCCCCCUGGACAAAGACUGACGCUCAGGUGCGAAAGCGUGGGGAGCAAACAGGAUUAGAUACCCCGGUAGUCCCA